AACGAACGCUGGCGGCAUGCCUAACACUUGCAAGUCGAACGAGACCUUCGGGUCUAGUGGCGCACGGGUGCGUAACGCGUGGGAACCUGCCUUUAGGUUCGGAAUAACUCAGAGAAAUUUGAGCUAAUACCGGAUGAUGUCUUCGGACCAAAGAUUUAUCGCCUUUAGAUGGGCCCGCGUUGGAUUAGCUAGUUGGUGGGGUAAAGGCCUACCAAGGCGACGAUCCAUAGCUGGUCUGAGAGGAUGAUCAGCCACACUGGGACUGAGACACGGCCCAGACUCCUACGGGAGGCAGCAGUGGGGAAUAUUGGACAAUGGGCGAAAGCCUGAUCCAGCAAUGCCGCGUGAGUGAUGAAGGCCUUAGGGUUGUAAAGCUCUUUUACCCGAGAUGAUAAUGACAGUAUCGGGAGAAUAAGCUCCGGCUAACUCCGU
rnacentral:rRNA from 1 species